rnacentral:rRNA from 2 species
UCCUGGCUCAGGACGAACGCUGGCGGCGUGCCUAAUACAUGCAAGUCGAGCGAAUGGAUGGGAGCUUGCUCCCUGAAGUUAGCGGCGGACGGGUGAGUAACACGUGGGCAACCUGCCUGUAAGACUGGGAUAACUUCGGGAAACCGGAGCUAAUACCGGAUACGUUCUUUCCUCGCAUGAGGAAAGAUGGAAAGACGGUUUCGGCUGUCACUUACAGAUGGGCCCGCGGCGCAUUAGCUAGUUGGUGAGGUAAUGGCUCACCAAGGCCACGAUGCGUAGCCGACCUGAGAGGGUGAUCGGCCACACUGGGACUGAGACACGGCCCAGACUCCUACGGGAGGCAGCAGUAGGGAAUCUUCCGCAAUGGACGAAAGUCUGACGGAGCAACGCCGCGUGAGCGAAGAAGGCCUUCGGGUCGUAAAGCUCUGUUGUUAGGGAAGAACAAGUGCCAGAGUAACUGCUGGCACCUUGACGGUACCUAACCAGAAAGCCACGGCUAACUACGUGCCAGCAGCCGCGGUAAUACGUAGGUGGCAAGCGUUGUCCGGAAUUAUUGGGCGUAAAGCGCGCGCAGGUGGUUCCUUAAGUCUGAUGUGAAAGCCCACGGCUCAACCGUGGAGGGUCAUUGGAAACUGGGGGACUUGAGUGCAGAAGAGGAAAGUGGAAUUCCAAGUGUAGCGGUGAAAUGCGUAGAGAUUUGGAGGAACACCAGUGGCGAAGGCGACUUUCGNUCUGUA